GUCGCCAGAGCCAAGAAGGAGAAAGGGGGAAACCCCUAUUCAUCACAAAAAUCAGCAAAUUAAAGCCCUAAUUGUGAUUCUAAGUUCAUGCAUGUCUCGAAUCUAGAUCAUCUAAGCAUACUUGAGUACAUGGAAUAAAAGAAGAAAGCUCAAGUCGCUCCGGAUCGCAAACGAACAACGACAAAGGUAAAGGAACUUGUUAGCAGCGCUACUUGGAUUCGAACACACUCUUGAUGCAUGCUUCCGUGAAAAUCCUAGUUAUGGUUUAAACUUUUGUUAAAUGAUUUUGUUAAAAUGGGUCCUUUGUAUGUAUGUUAACCCGGUAGUGGUUAGAU